rnacentral:rRNA from 1 species
CCCCUAGACGUUCUGGGCUGCACGCGCGCUACAAUAAUACGCACAGCGAGUAUCACCGAGCUCGAAAGGGCAAGGUAAACAAUAGAAAAGGUACUGUAAUGGUUAUAGAUCCUUGUAAUUAUUGAUCUUCAACGAGGAAUUCCUAGUAAGUAUGUGUCAUCAUCACGCACUGAUUACGUCCCUGCCCUUUGUACACACCGCCCGUCGCUCCUACCGAUUGAAUGAUCCGAUGAAUACCAUGGAUUGAGAGUACGAAUAGGUUCGCUUAUUUCUGCUGCUCGAGAAGUGGAGUAAAUCUUAUCAUUUAGAGGAAGGAGAAGUCGUAACA